GUUAACUCUGAAAUAAAAGUAGAUUUGUAUUAUUACAUAUGUAUUAUUUCAUUAUUAAAGUACAUCUGUAAAAACAAAUAACAGUUUUUCGUACAUUAUGUUGACCAUUUAAUCACGGCGAUUUUAUGCAUUAUUUUGUAACUUCACCACUUCCUAAACAAAAUCACAAUCAUAUGACUUUUCAAAUCGUUUUGAACCCACAAAAUGAAAAGCUUUAUGACAUUUAAUGAAAAAGAAAUUUGAUAAUUUAUCAAACGCAUUUUGUAAUUAUAAGAGAGACACAUUCGAUGGAUAAUGUUCAAAACCUAAGACCCAUUAAACUAUGUUAAUUCUU
rnacentral:misc_RNA from 1 species